CGGGGUGCACCAGGCGCGAAAACUUUACAAUGCGGGAAACCGUGAUAAGGGGACACCGAGUGUCAGCAUCACAUGCUGGCUGUCCAGGUGUGUAAAAUACACCUGUUAGCAAGGGCCGGGCAAGACCGGUGCCAGCCGCCGCGGUAACACCGGCGGCCCGAGUGGUGAUCGUGAUUAUUGGGUCUAAAGGGUCCGUAGCCGGUUUGGUCAGUCCUCCGGGAAAUCUGAUAGCUUAACUAUUAGGCUUUCGGAGGAUACUGCCAGACUUGGAACCGGGAGAGGUAAGAGGUACUACAGGGGUAGGAGUGAAAUCUUGUAAUCCCUGUGGGACCACCUGUGGCGAAGGCGUCUUACCAGAACGGGUUCGACGGUGAGGGACGAAAGCUGGGGGCACGAACCGGAUUAGAUACCCGGGUAGUCCCAGCCGUAAACGAUGCUCGCUAGGUGUCAGGCAUGGCGCGACCGUGUCUGGUGCCGCAGGGAAGCCGUGAAGCGAGCCACCUGGGAAGUACGGCCGCAAGGCUGAAACUUAAAGGAAUUGGCG
rnacentral:rRNA from 1 species